GUAGGUGGCAAGCGUUGUCCGGAAUUAUUGGGCGUAAAGCGCGCGCAGGCGGUCCUUUAGGUCUGAUGUGAAAGCCCACGGCUCAACCGUGGAGGGUCAUUGGAAACUGGGGGACUUGAGUACAGAAGAGGAAAGCGGAAUUCCAAGUGUAGCGGUGAAAUGCGUAGAGAUUUGGAGGAACACCAGUGGCGAAGGCGGCUUUCUGGUCUGUAACUGACGCUGAGGCGCGAAAGCGUGGGGAGCAAACAGGAUUAGAUACCCUGGUAGUCCACGCCGUAAACGAUGAGUGCUAAGUGUUAGGGGGUUUCCCGCCCCCCUUAGUGCUGCAGCUAACGCAUUAAGCACUCCGCCUGGGGAGUACGGCCGCAAGGCUG
rnacentral:rRNA from 1 species